GCCCUGCAUGUGGCAGGGAGGUUAGAGCUUCAUGAUCCUCGAGAUCCCUUCCAACCCUGGCCAUUCUACUCUAAUCACAUGUGUCUGGGGAAACUAUGGGCACUGAUCCAAAAGCAAUGCCUCCCAUUUUAUGACAUAACAUCAGGUGGUGGUUUGGCAGUAGAAUCUGAACAUUCCCAACUGAUAUAUGAGCACAGUGAAGCUGUGGAUGGUGCGUUUCAGCAGCGGCAACACCAGAGCACCUGGACUGGUGCAGAUUUUUAUGAGAACAGCAUGCAGGCUAUUGUUCACUACUGGUGAAAAUGCACAGCUAAUGAUGGUGACUAUGGAAAAAUAAUGUUUUGUAGCUGAGAAUUUGCUCUAUCAAAUAGUGCUGUUGUGCUCCUUCUAUCUGUUGCAGUUCCCAUGGAAACAAAUAGGAGGCAUUACUUCAGAAUGACCCAUGUACUUAGCGACCACAGUUUUACAGUUGUAGAACCUGAGUUCAAGACUGACCAUGUCCACAGACCUUCCCUUAACAUCCCUGGGCUGGCAGAAUAAGAGAAAUAAGCAGCUUGCAAGUCUCCUGCGAGGUGGCAAUCUAGCAGAUGCUCAUCUAGAUGGCAGUGCUAGCGAGCCAGCACAGGAUGCUCACUCAUGCUUUGAUAUGGACACCGACUUCUGCGAUCUUUAUCAAGUACAGUGGAUUGAAAUCUAGAUGCUAGAAGUGAGCCUCUACUGGACACGUGCACACCAAAGGUUAAGUCAAGGUGCUGAACCACUUCAGUGCAACUACAACAAAAAAAGUGUAUUAUUAAUGCAGCAUCAGUGAUGUGCAAUAUCGUAUGUUCAAGGUAGACCAAACUAUUUAACUACCGGUAUACAACCAAUGGAGAAUUUGCUGUUACUGUUGAAUCCUAAAAGUCCAUUUUCUGCACGUUUAAAUGUGCAGACUUGAAAUAAAUGCAUGUUUAAGGUGCCUUGCUUUUUGGCUUUCUGAAGGGAGUUGGAGUUGUGUUACACAGUUGUGCAACCUGAAAUCUGGCAUCCGUCACUUCCCAGUUGUUGCAGGCUGCACUAUGCUGUUGCAUUUUAUUCUUAAAAGAAAUAUUCUUCAAUUCAGCGUGUACUGCUAAGCAAAUAGAGCAGGCUGUGAAUCACAAGAGUUCUCGUAUUGUCAACAAAACAGAAAACAUUGCACAGUCCUCUGAAUAAUCACAAUAAUGAAAAAUUACAAAAAGUUUGACUGUUCAAUGUGCAAAAUGCCCAGCAAGCAAUUAAAGGGAAAAACAUUUCCUCCCUGUUAAAUUGUGGCGUUUAAGAGAAAUAAGGAAGACAUGAGAAGAGCAGAUAUGCAGAUUAGUGUAAUCAAAUAUAUACAAACAAUUUUUAAAGCAUUCCUAAUUUAUAGGGAUCUAUCUGCUCACUCAUCUCAAAACCCAGAUGGCCAGAAGUUCCCCAUCCAGGUGACACAGAAGAACACAGCAGCCCCUCACAUCAAUUCCCCACCUGGGGUUUGAGCACCGAUAGCCAGUUUCCCCAGAGUUUGAGCCCACCCCAGCCGUGCUGCCCACCCGCUCCCUGCUCUCUGCCUGCUGCCAGUCCCUGCAGCACGGCAGGAUGAAGAUACUGGCAAAGAGAGGAAAGAAAAAUAUUUUUCUGCUCCCUGAAAACAAACUUUUUUUUUCCUCUGUUAGAGAAAAAAAAAUUCUUAUUUUAUUCACAAGUCUUUCCACAGUUUGUUUGGAAAUGGAGGGAGGAUCGACAGCUAAGAAAAGGGAGUAUAAACUCUCCCCUCUGCACGCUGUUAAUCCUACAACACCCAUUUUUUUACACCACAACUUUUUAGAUCAGCCUUCCUCAAAUCACAAACCCGUGCUUUUUGUCUUAGAAGUAUUUUUCCAGCUCUUGUUCUGGGUAUGUUUUGCUCUCUGCUCAGUGAAAAUGAGAAAGAAUACCUUAAUUUGUGUGUGCUAAAAUACAGUGAUAUACGGUGAGCUGCCAAUAUCUGGGAUGUACAUGGCAGCUUUCAUGACGACUAUUUAUUACAGUGGCAAACUCAGGCUAAAAUACACAAAGCAGAUUUUUUUCCAAGAGCAUAUUUAUCAUUUUGCUAUAUAUUCAUGCCUCUAAUUGAUUUUUUGCAGUUACAUUUCCCACAACGUGAAAAUAAGUAACAGCGUGUGAGAUCAGAUUUUAUAGGCGCACCUUUUUACAUACAGUAAAGUAAACACAAGAAACGUUUUCCAAGACAGCAUAUCGCUAUCAAAGCCCUAAAUGGAGAACUUUUUUUCCACGGAUCACUCCUGUAAAAGUUAAUGGAGUCAGAGCUUUUAGAUUGGGUGAGGGCAGCAAUGCACUUUGUACAGCUACAAUAUUAGCCCACAGAGCAGCUUUAGUUUAAGGAUUUAAAAUUUAUUAAAGUGGAGUGAAAUGUGCACUUUCCCCCCAAAAAAUAGAAAGAGAAAACAAGACAGGAAACCUAAGAAAAAGGAACACCUAUUUCAGAACAGAAGUGACUGGUAUACGUCGGUAGCAAACUCGUGCCAAACUGCAGCGGUUGCUGAACAGAUCAGAACUGUCCUCCCUUGAAAGGUGUCUGGAAAAUUCAGCAAAAAAAACUUAUGAGAGUCAAGGAUGCAAAGAAAAAGUACUGCAAAUGCCCAAAGUAAUUUGAAGAAGGGAAACAAAUUGUGAGACUGUAAGUAACAAACCGGAAGAACUUUGCUAAGAGACUCCUAUAGGGAACAUCAUAUCUUUCUGGAGCCUUCAGAUUAUUCAGUUUGUUCCUUUCACAUACAAAACAUUAUUAACAACACUGCCUGCUCAUCACAGCACACAGAACAGCCACUUUGUGAAAGCAAUGAAUUUUAGAAUCACAGAAUAUCCAGAGUUAGAAGGGACCCACACAGAUCACUGAGUCCAACUCAUUGGAUUUUCAGUCAUUCUUCCUUGUUAUUUCUGUUCCAUAUCAGUAUCUCACACAAGGCUUUACCUAUAAAAAAAUGUAUGGGAAUUUGAACUGAAAUUUGAAUAAGGGGUAUGUAAACCACGUUUAAUAGGGAAAAGUAAUUGUAUCUAAUUGUAAGUUCACUGCUGGGAGACCUGGACCAGAACAGUCCCCAAAUUUGGAUCAUCAGUAUCAAAACAGUGCAGUGCCAAUGCAUCCUUUUCUGGGGAGGGGGGCCGGUGCAAGAACUGUAGAGGAAACUGCUGUAGGAAUUGUUCUGGGUUACAGUCACAUCCCUGUCCCAAAUAGGAGCCUGGAGAGCAGGAAAAAGGCUGCAGUGCUGAGAUUGAGCUACAGAGGUUACAGCCUGGGGUUGUUUCUCUCCCCUGUUCUGUUGAACUCUCCCCUUGGUUUUGUGCUUUUACUUGCCACAUAAUCCAGUAAAACAGAAUUAACAUCUUAGCCACAGUGAACAAACACCAUACAUAUCUCAAGAAAAUAAGAGAUGGAAAAAUAGCAAUAAGCACAAAGUCUCUCUUUAUCUGCAAUUUACACUGCGUGGGUUUAGGGAAGGGGGGGGUAGUACUUUUUUUUUUUUUUUUUUUUUUUUUAACUUUUAGCAGCUGUUUCCAUUUCCAACUGCUUCUGCUUCCUUAAUAACACCUUCACAUUUCUGUAAGAGAACUCUGAUAGAAUAAAUGGAUUUUUAGUGAUAUAAAACCAACACAUUGCAUUUUUCUUCCCCUUUCUCAGUAGUUCCAGGCAGUACCCACCACUCUAAGUUCCAGAAUUACAGUCGGUACCAAACAGCGUGUGUCCUGUAGACACUACCAAGAAGUCUGCACGUAGCAGACAACAUUGUUUUGAUACUGACAAGAAGAGCAUCUGAAUCGUUUUGUCUUGCUGCUCGAGAAAAUUCAUGUCUCCAACUAUUGUGCCGUCUCUAUCAGGGGGUUGCUAAUUACUAAAGCUGCUUGUUAUUACAUGUAUCUAAUUAAUAUUAUCAGUAAGUCCAGAAUAUACACGCACUUCAGAAGAAUGACCCUAACAACCACCACUUCAACCCAUAACAGAAUUAGGAUGUGCUCAAAAAACAUUACAAGACUAGGCAGGGGAAAUAAAAAAAAAAGAUAACUUGAUCAAUUUUCAGAUUCUUCUGAAAGAACUACAAAACUAACAGAUAACUGGAGACUAUAAUAGAAGCUUUAAAGUUCGAUAUCUGACAGCAUCACAAAAUUUUCUUACUUGAAAAGUCUUGGGACAAAAAAUUAAACAUGCUGAAAGAAUUAAGAUGAGUGGGAAUGAACAAAUGCAGAGAGUAUGAGUCUCAUUUAGGCACAUUCUUAUUGCAGCAAACUCUAAAAAUAGGGGUGAUACCAUUAAAUGAACCUUGUCAGAAGGUGCAAUAGUGAGAGUGUGGAGCAGACACUAAUAGAAAAUGACAGCUAUUAGAAAUACAUGCAUAAAUAAACUAUUAUGCUUAGAAGAAGUAAGCUGAUCUCAGCGUGCAGGAAACAAUAUUAAUUCCAAGAAACCUAUUCAUUAAGAAGAGACACACGGAAUACAAUACUGCAAAUUUGACCGCAGCAUUUCGGGCAGCCUUCACUGGAGACAAAGACACACAGCACUGCAUGGGAGCAGUGCAGGUCCGUAUGCCAAAACCAAGUUCUAGCUGUGGCAGGACACAUCAGCUUGAAAAGCUGUGCACACAUUAGGAGGGACUUCAGAAAAAUGAAGAUUCCAGAAUGCUGGAAGGAUUGUGCUUUCAGAAAAAAAUAUAAAUAAAAAACUGCUAAACAUCUUUGUUUAGCAAAGUGAUAUACAUGUAACAUGUGUUAAGGUGAGGGAAAAGAGCGUAUGAGGUUUUAAAAAAAAUAAAGAAACAAAUUAGCUAAAGAAAACUAAAACUCACUGAGCACUGACAGCAUACAGGCUACAGUCACUUUUGGAAACAUCCAUAAGCACAUACAUGCACACUUCAUUUGGCAUUAAACGUGAAGCGCAUUGAAAGUAAAAGACCAAGAGAUAUCAUCAGAUAAUUCUUCUGUAUCUAUUCGCACUCUCCAGCUAUUUGAUAGUGACACUAUACUGGAAAUUGGCUAUUUCCAUUUUAAAUCAUGCCUCAGACAUUUAUAAUUCUCAGGAAAAAAAAAAAAAAACACAAACAGCUGUAUCUGUUAAAAAUACAACUUCUUACACAUGAAUUCUGCACAGAAGCUCAAUUUCUUUGAGAAAGUUGCCCUACGACUUCAGCUAUUUCAUCUCACAAAAUAUUUCCUUCCAUCCACCUUUUUUUAUUAGCAAAAGCAGCUAAAAUAUGAAAAGUGUUUUAAAUCAAAGUGCACUGAAUACAUUAUCACAUCGAAUAGGUUGAGCUUUUGGUUGAACGCAAAGAAGUGUUUAAAAAUAGCAGAACGUGCAGCUGUCUGAAAGCUAUGUGUUCAAUAGCCUUAAGUCAUAACUUCUUUCUACUUGAGGCUUGGAACAAUGCUAUAAAAUUUUUGCACGUGUGGUAUCUGAAGGGAGAAGAGUGAUAUAGAACUUUCAGGCUUUUACACCUCGGGAUUUUCUAGCUAACAAAGUUUACUGCACUUUCAAGUUGAAAAUUCCUCUGAAGAUAGAGUGCUACCUACGUAGUUCUGCCUUGAUUUGUAAAAUAUUACUGUUAAAAACACAUCGAUGCAAUAAACAUAGAAGUCUGAACCAAUAUGAUUAUUGAAUUUGCAUUAAGCAGCAAAUGAGAUAUGGUAGCUAUGGUGAAAAACCACAGCUGUGUUAUUUGAGAAUACCAGAUCUCACCUGAUUGAGUUUUAUGAAGAACGAAAAAAAUAUCUCAUUUUCCAAGAUAUCUAAAAGAUUAAUGAAGAGAAAAAACAGUGGAAUGUGUAUUCUCCAAACAGUUGGUUCAUUAACAAGGCCCAAAUAUUGACCAACAGUCUGUGGACACACGGCUCCAUUGCUUCAUGGAGGACAAGAACACCCCAGAAUCAGUCUGCACACAACAGGACUGUACCCAUCUGCUCUUGUAGCAUAGCAAGUAUAACCCCUUAGCCUGUACCAAUGGAUUCCUGUUCUCAGCAGGGAUUCCCACUUGUCAUUAGAUGGAUCUAUUGCGGAAUAUCAGACAAAAAGGUGUAGAAGUAGUCUCUGAGUGAAGUCCCUCAAGCACAUGCUGCCCCAGUGUCUCUUGUACAAGGCCACUGUGUAACUUCUAAUGCACGGAAUUCUCAAAUGCUCUGGAUCCAAAAGACAUCUCAAUAUAGCACACCUUCCUGGACAAACAAUACACCCAAGCACAACUGGUCUUGGGUUCUGCUCAGCACUAUAAAAUGACCCUACAGAAGUGCCCUUUUAACACUACUCAUGUUUUUAAUAAUCAAGCCGAUUUGUUCAGUGCCAUCCCUUUAUCUGUCACCAUAAAAAACCCAGACACGCUUUUAUCCUGGUGAAUAUCCCUCUUCCAUCACAAACCAAAAACUACCCUCGUAGAGCUCAAUGCUGGAACUACACCACAGCUGCAGGAAGAGUUUGGCUCCCUCCAAGCCAUCAUCUCCCUUCCCCAAAUAUCACCACACAGGACAGAAUGGAAACAGGUCAUGGUGCUGUGAUUUUCCCAGGGCUGAACCUGGGAUGGCAAUGACACUGCCAAGAGUUUGGUAUACUCUGAUGGCUUUGGUUCCAUUCAACCACACAGCAUGCUCUUCAUCAACAGAUGUUUUAGUUUUCCCUUUCUCCCCAACUCUAGCAAUUGCAACACCCAGACCAUUUUUUGCUGCCUUUUGGGAUUUUUUUUGGUCUUCUGACUGCCAGGAUCAAACUGUUGGACCUAAACUGUGCCAGGUGUAUCAUACACUAUGCUCUUAUUCUUUAACAGAGAUUAUUGCAUAGUAAGUACUUAUACAACCUCCCAAGAAGACACACUAUGAGUGUAGUUAUCUGAUCUGCAGUGCUCAGAUCAGCCUUAAACAUUUAAUUUUCUUUGCAUGUGCUUGUUUUGCUCUUCUCGGCUUCCAUCCCAAAGUCUCCAUUCUGAAAGCUUGUGUGCGGUGUACAAAAACCACUCUCACAGGAUACAUACCCCUUCAUUUUGUUUUCAAGCAAGAAAGAAGGCGGUGGUAGAAAGAUCUAUUCAGCAAUUUUAAGUAAACAUAGGAAAAAAAACCCUGUAUUAAAGUUAAUUAAAAUGCAGUAACCAUUAUUACUAGUCUUUCAGUGAUGUUAAUUAAAAAAAAAGUUUUAAAAACAUUCUAUUUGUGAAAUGUAUUUUAUAGACACAUAUUUUAUAACAUACAGCAAUAUAAAAUGCUACGGAGAUUCAGAUUAGAGAAAGCCUAUAUCUUUCAUAUUAUUUCAUUUGCUGUAUGUAACCAAAUCGUGCUGCUAUUGUUUUAAGAACAUAUACUUGACUAUGAAUGCUAUAAAUGAGAUACACACACAAAAAGCAAAAUUAAAGCUUGCAAGAACUGAACUGAGUUUUGCAGAAUAAAGCCUUGAGUUGCAUUGGCAGAGUGAAGGUAUACAUUAGACAACUCGGUAUAAGCAGUUAACAUUAAAGAAAUAUAAAUCCUUGGCGAGUACAGAAUUAAUACACUUUCAAAUAGAAGUAAAAUCAUCUCCACGUGUUGCUAACUUGUCAUCUAUUAAAUCAGAAGGUGUGAUGACAGAACAGCUAACUUGCCUCUAAAACAAGAGGCAGCGAGGCUGAGUGUUGCUCUGGAUUUUUGCCAAGUGUCAUUUUUAGUAAACUCUGCUGUAAUUAGGAACUUGGUUGUCUGGAUGAAGAAGUAGGACUAUUCUUUGCGUGCUGUUUCUUACAGCAACUGAUUGCCUUAAAUAUGUUCAUGUACCAUGCUACCUGUGACCAGGAGAGGCUCCUCUCUGAACAAAGGUUUGGCUCAUUAAAUUGAAAAGGUUACAGCUGUUGACUUAAUGCUAGAGAAAGAAAUGAACUACUGUUCAGAAAAAGAAUGGAACUAAUGCAUUUCUGGCUGUUCAAAAAGUAACCCUGACCUCUGUUAGACGUCAGGACACUAAAUACAGGAAAGGAAACAAAGUCACCUAAUUCUGGAGAAUCGUGUUCAGCGUGUUAUCUGAUAGCUGCCGUGUUCUCUCCGUGUUCAUGUGAUACUGCGUGGACAUGACUUCUGGACGGGAUCUCUCACUCUGAAGCUCAGUUGUUCCCUCAUCUCACUGCCCUUUCAUAAAAGAUUAUCAGGGAAAGCAAAACGUACACCAAUUAAGGCAAAGAAACUGCAAAACUGGACACAGACAGGCUGCAGCAAAGCUGAGCAGUUUGAACUGCUGUCACCUUGGAGUCAUCUGUGAUAAACAGAAGAAGGAGUUUUUUAAGCCACUUUCAUGCUUUUCUUUGUAAAAAGAAAAUAUAAAGUUUUUCCUCUUGAGACACUACCAAUGCAUUUCAUCUCUUCUAUGCAGCAUUAAAGGUAACAGCAGCUUAAUGCAAAGAUGCACUGCACAGAGAAACAGAUCUAAGCCAAUUAGACUGCAGCAGAAACCUCCUCUGCUGUGUAACAAUAAGGAAUUAAAACAUUUUCAUUUAUUUUCACAUAAAAAGGAAGUCGGAGUCCUGUGACUGUAUUGAUAGGAGCGAUGUGCACAUACUUCUGGGCACGCUGCCUUGAACGGAGAAAGAAGGAGCUGGUUCUUUCAGAUGGAGCGGCUGCGUAUAGAAGUCCUCCAGCUCGGCUCCCUUUGCUCUUGAUAAAAGCAUGGUGCAAUGAACUCUCAGGAGAUUAGCGUACACACACUGUAACUCCAAAAACUUUAGGCAGCAUACAUGUUCCUUUGAGUCUUGUACAUAUGUUGUAUAUAAUGCGCCCUUUUUGAUACUAAAAAGUUGCUAAGUUGUUCUCAAGCUGGAAAGGGUUUUCCAUUUAGAUAAGGCCAAUAGCUGCUGCACAGAAUAAGCACAUGUGUAACACUGCAGUCUGAAAGCACAAGUGUUUGCUGUUCUACUGGGGGCUGAUAAGAAUUAUUCCAUUUCACACAAUGCUACUGGAAGUUAUUUAACCCCGACAUGCAUUCUUCUGGUGGUGAAUAUACCACAGCCAGCAACACCUCCCCACAUCACACACCUUUCUGUCGCAGCACAUUAUAACCAUUUGUCCCUCUUAACGUGUUUUUUUGCAUAUAAUUGCUCUAAAAGCCCACACACCUUUUCUAUACACACCGAUAUAAAAAUAUCACAUGGAAGUUAUUAUCCAUAUUAUACACAGGUCUACACCAACCUAGAAAAUACACGUGCACUGCUGGAUUUGCCGUGAAAAAAGGAACAAAAGCUUGCUGCAUGCAUUCAGUCAAUAGAACCUGGCCUCAACUCACAAUUACUUGAAUUACCACUGAAACACAGUAGUCGUGGUGGGAGGAUGCAGUGGCUACUCAGUGCCGAGUGGUUUUUACCCAAUGAAUUUGAAACUGCUUGGGGCAUUUAGGUUGGCAGAACUCUAUAACCCAACUGGAACCGCGCCAGGAGGUUUAACAUGCUACUCUUGAAAAGUGAGCCACCAACGCUUUAAUCGCAACAAGUGGCCAGGACUUAAUUUCUCAUCUCAUUUGAAAUAUGCCGGUCUCAGCAGCAGAGCAAGCUUCUUAUAAAAUGCCAUCUACUAAUCAACACUAUUUCCUGCUCCAGUGUUUUUUCUGUGCGCGUUUCCUGUAUGAACACUGCAGCAAUCCUGUUUGGUUUAGCCUAGAAAAGUCACAGCACAACCUUAACCCACCACGGCAGAGCACAGGACACAUGUCCUGCACAAGUACAAAAUCAAAUUCUACCAAUAGCAAAUACUGCAAAAUGUAAGUUUAAAAAUUAAUUCCCAUUCUUCACUUUCUACAACUGUGGAAGCAUUUUCUUAGAAGACGCCAAUUUGGAAAGGACCUGUGAAUACUGAAUCCAACUCCUGGCUCCACACAUGACCUCCAUUCUGAGUUUUACCAAGCAACACUGUGGGUUUUUAAUAUGAUAGAUUUACACCAGCACCCAGCCUGUGUAAAAUUACGGACAGAAAGUGCACAUAAGGAGCUCAGCUCCUUUUGAGAGAGAAUGUCUCUGUGAAGGAAGUCUCCUUAAGGAUGGACCAUUUCUAUAAGUGAGGCUUUGGAGAAAUGUGCUUUAGCCUGAAUCAUCUUAUGUUUAAAAGAUUAUGCAUCAACUGUAGUCUGUGACAAUCAACACAUCUAAGAGAAGGCAACACAAACAUUAAGAUGCUAUUGCUUUCUAAUUCAUGUGAAGUUUACUUUCUGUAACUGUGCUAAAAUGAUUGUAUUGUCUUAAUACUGACAGUCAGCAUGAGCUGCAAUAACCUCCGUGUGCAGCAGUUUGUGAGUGUAACUGAGCAGUAUACGAACUGACACCAUCACGGCUAUAAAAUUCCACUUUGAUUUUUCAGUUCAUCAAAAUCAGUGCGAGUUUAUGCCUUUUUUUUUUUAAGGAUAUUCUUUUCAGCGACGAAAAAUAUAAGGUCUGAUGUUAAAGGGUGAUAAACGAAUGGCUAGAUCUCAUUAAAAUUGAAAUGGAUUUCACUUGUAAUUCUGAGGCUGCCUAGAAAUCCCAGCUCAAACUCUCUGGACAAGGAAGGAUGGGUGACAUUAACCGCAACUUUAGUCUUGAAAAUACAUUAAUAUAUAUUCAUGUUGCAAUCAUACUGAAAAUAUUUACAUUUACACACAUACUGAAAAAAACAUUACUACAAUAUGCCUUGCAAAUUAUUCUUGCUGAUCUGAACUUGUAAAACUUGUGUUAAAAUUAAAACUGUUGCACACAGGAAUGGUAAAAAUCCAUCAAUUCUUUUUAAAACAGCAAAAGAAAUGAGAUAUCCCUGACAGAUUACAGAAGAGCUAUCACCUUCAGCAAUAUUGUGAUUUAAAAUAUUCAGAACAGAAAGAAAGCCUCUCUAAUGCAUGUGUUAAAGUUUCCCAUGCAAAACCAAAUGUAUCCUUGUUUCAUAUUUAAUUUGCAAUAGGAUACCCAGCAGCUGAGCUAUGAGAGCUUUCCUGGCUGCUGACUAACUGCCUGCUGAGAUGGGCUCCACGCAUAGGUAACACUCGAUUGAAGACCAAAUCCUUAGAGCUACAUCUCAGUUCCCUUGAAAGCUAAUCUGAACACACUGGACUCAAAAGGAAAUGAAAAGUGAGUUUCUCUCCCUUCCUAUGGCACCAGCACUUCCUGUGUUUUAGCGACUGGUCAAGAACUAUUAUUUCCUCCAUGCUAUUCCCAAUUGUGACUGUCAGACAUCAUUAACGUUGUCUGCAUGCAGGCACAAACAGUUUUGUUAAAUAUGCCAGGAACAAAAGUUCCCCAUCCCCAGAAACUUGGAGAAACUUGGAGAAUAUUAAGAUUCAAGUAUGCUAUACCUGAAUGAACAUGCUGCUCUAAACAUUUAGAAAUGCAAAGUUCAUUUGCUGAGAUGAGUAUCCACAAAAAUCUAUGCAAGAUAAGGGGUAUUAAAAUUAUUCACUCUCCAAUUCAGAAUGGAUUAUUUGGCCAAUCUGUUAAGCCGUACCUCUCAGACACACAGAAUCAGUACCAUCCUCCUUCCCUCGGGGAAAAGAGCUCAUAACGUUUGAAGAAAAAUAUGCUUCAUCCCAACUGUAAGAAUACACAUGAAACGCACAGUCUUCCUUGAACACAACUCUUUGGAAUGGGAAAGCAGCAGACAUCAACAGCAUGAAUGCAGAGGGCAAACAAGUUCACCAAAGAAAAUAAAUUAAGUUGAAUGCUGCAGAUUGUAAAGUGGCCAGAAUAAAGGCCAUUUAAGUUACUGGGCUGUUUUAAAUAUAUACACACAGGGUUGAACUUAAAUUUAUCUCUCCAUAUAAAAUAUCACCUCUGGCAGCAUGGAGUCAUCACUUAUAACCAUGAUUGAAACAUUAAUCUAAACCAAGUCAGAGAAAUUUGUGACUUAUUGUGUUACCACCUGAAGACCCUAUGUUUUCCAGCCUUGGGCUAAAUACAAGCCAAAUCCAGCCCUGCUCAAGUUUGACAUUGCUUUUCAAAAACACAGGUAUGUUAUGGUAGCUUUUACUUACCUGGUCCAAACAAUAAGCAUUUAUAUAUAAUAUGCAAAUAGAAUCACAUUUAACCCAGUCACGCAAUACACAGCUGUUCAAAGCAACAAAAUCCAAACUAAAGAAACCUAUAAAAAUGCUGUCUUGUUAAAUCAUCAGAAAAACAUUAACGUAUCUAAAGACUGCAAUAAAAAAAAAUAAUGAAUGAUCCUACGAAAAACAGUCUUUACAGAUGAACUUUAAUUAUCCAAGAGUCUUGCUAUAUGAACCAAGGUCACGUCUCCAGCUGCUGUUUCAACUCUCCAUGUUAUCCAACUUUAAAUUUCUCAGGCUCUUGCAGAAUUAAGUGGAACUGCCUACACACAAAAAUGAGUUAUCCUUUCCUAAUGACUUACCCACUCACUAAUAUUCCCUUUGGUGAAGAGUUGGAGAAAACAGGAUCACAUACUCAAAGGUGAAGACUUGAAGAAGGCACUGAAGUUAAGUGCUGUACGGUAAAGUUAUAAUGCUUAUCUGUGUGUGGCAAAAAUAAUAAUUCAAAUGAGCUUUCUUAGUCAUAAUUUUAAAAAUUAGAAGGCAGAGUUCCAUGGUCUUAACCUGGACUCUACCACAUACUUGUCUGCAGAAGCUUGUAAUGAAUCAUUGACCUGAUUGAUGCAAGGGAGAUACGGGUCCCGUAAUCCACGCGUGAUCUUUGUCUAGACAACGGCUUGUUCUGAUGCUAAGAUCAAGGUUAGGCUCAGCUAGACUUGAAAACAGCAUCUAAACAAAGUACAAUGUCUAUUCCUGAAUAGCUUCAAGCAGGGAUAGUUUCACAAUACAAAAGAAACAUUUCAGACACUUCAAAAGUGUCUAAAACUGAGACGAGUUACUUUGCAAGGAACUAGUCUGGAGAAUAGUUGCUUGGAACAAUGAUCUGGAAGGACAGCUCCUGAACUCCAGGUGUGAAUCCAGCCCCACGUCCAUGCAAACACCACAGCUGUUAAUCACCAGCACAAGAAUGUGGACAUUACUGGGGAAACUUAGGGCAACGUUUCAUAAAACCAGAGAUAUGUGAGGUUUUAACACCUAAACUCAACACUUUCUAUGUCCUUCCCAAUACAGCACAAAAUUAAGGCGUGCUUGGGUUCUGAACAGUUUCCCUGCAAUCUAGGUGCAAAUACCAGGGCAGGAGGUAACAAUCAGAUUUCUGGGUGUGGGAUCAGCAACUAAGAUAAUUUUAAUUUUGCUUCUUAAAAGCCACUUGUCAGUAUUCACCGGCUAGCACUUUCAUUACAUUAAAAUGGUGGCAAAAGAGAAAAAAAAAUUACGUUUCACAAUACGAAAAAUAGGAAAGGCUCCUACAUAAAGAAAAAGCAAUGAAAAAUAAUAAAAGUUAUGAUGUCGGCCCUUAAAAUUAGAAUACUACUUACAUUUAUUUCAGUCUGCUUUAAACAGCAGAUAAACUUUCCAUCUCUCACCCUCUCCCCUGGAGUCACCAAACUACUCUGCGUAGUAAGGGAAAGUCUGAAAGGCUUGAGAACAGUAACACAUAGCUAUCAGAUGAUAACCUAAUUUGAAACUUAUGCUUCCAAAGGUGCAUGGGUGUCUGACGAUCCAGAUGAAAUGAAACCCUCAAGAAUAGUAGCAAUAGACAGUGCAGGAAGCAACAUGGGCUGCAAACAAAGUCACAUAUUGUCAGAAAAGGGAAAAAACUGAUCUGACGUGACAAGUCAAGACAAGUGACAGAAGUUUUGCUGAAAAGGGAUCACGAGGAAAUUAAAAUCAUGACGGAAUUUCUGUUCAAAACACACAAGACAAUAGAAUCCUUUUAUCAUAAAGUCCCAUUUUCUCCUCCAGUUUUGUUAUAGCCAAACUUGCAAUUUGCACAUCAUAAUGCAAUGAAAGAACCCAUGACUUUCAUUCCGAUUCAAUGUAAACAAUUCACUGUAAAAGACUGGCUUCUAAGAAGCAACUUCUGCAUUGUGCAGUUUUUAUUGUGAAUCCCUAAGAAAUCACUAACAACUUGUAAGCUAUCUAAACAGGUCUGAAAAAAAAAAAAUAAUCUUCUGGCUCUGAAGGGAUGAUAUUCCCUUGGAGAAAAGUCACGUUAGCUGUAUUUCAUUUGCUGUAUGCGGCAAGUAAUACUCUGAUAGCUCAGGAAACUAAACAAAAUGCUUUUUCACAAUGAUGAUUUUUUACUGUUAGCAUUACUUACUUCUUGUUACUACUUCACAAAUAUUGGACUCAGCUUCUUUAUAAAAUAUGUUUUCUAAUUUUGCUUUUUAUGUAUAGUGAGGUUCCAGGUUGGUUUAUCUGCAUUCAAGGAUAGGACAUAAAUGUAUAAGAAAAGACAAAAUAAAGCCAUAAAAAUCCUCACGAGCUAAGAUGAAGAUUUGUCAUCUCCCCUCCAAAAAACAAUGCAAAUGCUUUUAAUUCAGCUCCUCACUUCCAGCGGCCACUCUCCUUGCAAAAAUAGUUGAAGUUUUUUUUUUCCCCAAAGACAUGAAUGAUUAAGGAAAGCAAGGUACUAACCCCCACAGAAUUUAAAAUGGUGUAUGCCUCUGUCUACAUAGGAGAUAGAUCCUAGCGAUGUCGUUGGGCUUCUGCCAUGGUUCAAGUUUUACUGUGGUGCUUAUUACAUUGAUUUUUUUUUCCCCCAAAUGCUGCAAAUUAACUGAAGCUCUUUGGUGAAAACCUAUUUAGCUUCACAUUUUAAGCCUAUAAAAAAAUCUUCCUCGUUAAAUCCUUUCUUGCAGUAUUUCACUGGAAAUUAUGCUUUAGAUUAUGAUACUACUGCUCAAGAAAAGGUAAAGAUACAGCUGUCUUCCCAAUUACAGCUCUAUCAGCAUGCAUUCUAUAAAAGAGUUAUUCUGCUGUCUAAUGGCAAAAUUUAAACCAGGCACAUUUUCUGUAUACUUUUUGUUCCUGUCUCCUAUUUUCCUUUUUCUUUGAAACCUGCCUCUCCUAUUGGCUCUUUCCCAACGCCUUUCUCCUGCCUGCAUCUCAAGCUUGGCUGCCUUUCUCAUUUUGUCUGUUUUUUUUUUUUCCUGUUGCUUCUUCCUUGCUAUACUGAUGCAUACAUGAAGGCUCAUUCACACAAAAGCAAUCAGCGUCUAACAUUUAGCACAGCACCUGGCCCGCUAAAGGAAGCUUGCAAAUGCUCAGUGCCUGGCCAUGGUUAGCAGCCAGGAGCAAAGUGCUCACAGUAUAGCAGGGGUUUAACUCUUCAAACUGGUUGACUACACAGUACCUGUUUGUUGAUGGGUGGUGGUUUCCUAGCCAAAUAUACUGGAAAAGCUCUGCUGAAAAGAUCAUUGCUGCUUUUAAACCACCAGCAGCUGUUAGAACAGAGAAGAGUUAGUCUGUGGAAUUAAAGUAGAUCAGGGGAAAGGCAGAAAGGCUUAAAAACAGCAACAGCGAGACCUGUGUUAUCAAAAUGGCAAAGUUGAUAUCCCUGUACUCUUUUUAAAGUCCAUUGCAUGCUAAUUUAGAAAGCGGUAUUGCCUUUGUUUAACCCUUGAGGAAACCAGAGACUGAAAUUAGGCUGUUCUGAGAUCCUUGCUACAUUCAGUUCUGGACCGCAGCCAAAAAAAAGCACUGCAAGACUGAGGGGCCAGUGACAGUUUUAAAAUCUCAUAUAUCUAGCCACCAGAGCUAGACACUAAUGCUUUAUGCCACUGUGAUGCUUUAUGCUUACACAGUUACAGGUCUAGCACCAGGAGGUCCUAGACAUCAGAUGCAAAAAUGUUAAUUUUCAUCACCAACCUUGCUUCAUUCCACUCGUUCUCAUCAAUUCAAAAGGGAUUUUUACUAACCAACGUUAUGUGAACAACUAGAGGUGUUCUGUAAUUGGACAGCCGGGUUUCAAUGCUACCAGGUGGCUGCAAGCACUAGGCUCUGGUGGGUAAUGGGUUCCAAUAUCACAUCAACAGCAAAGAGGGGGAAAAAAACAGGACUGUUAAGGAGAUCAACAAUUUUAUGCUUUGAUCUGCUGGGGAAAUAAAAUGCUUUGACAGAAAAGGGUACAAAUAAAUUUAUACAUCAUGCCAAGAACUGGUCCUGAUUCCAAAGAUCAGAAAUACAAUGCCAGUGCAUGUUAUCAAAAAUGAAAGACCACAAAACAUAUUUCCCAGUACAAAUUACAUUUGUUUCCAGAUGAUCUUCAAGGAAAAGGAGUUGAACCUCUACGAGUGGGAAGCAAAGAGAUAUGAAGCAGAUGACAGAAAAAGAAAGCAAGGAUUAAAAAGAUUGCUUAAUUCCCUAGAAACCACCCACUUCUCCCUACAAAACACCUCAAACAUUGGGAAGAGACUCAUGUUUCUUCCCUCGUAUCCUUCUGUGUACCCCAACACAAUCACGGGGCAGAGAGGAAUUAAGGUCUAAUGUGAAUUAUCACGACAAGCACAAAAGCAACAUGUUUUCUUUAGCCUCCCAUCUACAGAAGCAAGGAAGGGCUAACCCAGAAAGAGAAAGAUGAGAAAGUGGAUAUUUAAAGAAAUAUAUAUUAUUAAAAACGUGGCAAUGCAUCAAAUACAGGUAGAAAUUGUUUCCAGGAAGCUUAAAAUUAAGGUUACCAUUGCACAUGUAGAAGAUACACUUGGCUUUGUUUAGUUAAUGGAGAACGAUACACGUUCUUAGAAUGCCAGGAGCCAGGGCUUUACACAGUAUCACAGAAUAAAUGUAAUAAUGAUUAUUAUUAGCUAUGGAAAAGUAGCUGGGCUUUCUCAAUUGGCCUAGUUUCAACUCAGUACUGUUUUGCUUCAAAUGAAAUCAAUAAAUUCUAUGAAGUUGACGUAUUAUUGCAAAACUAUGUUCUUCUACAUUAAAGAGCAAGAAAUAAAGCAUGACCAUCAUGUUUUGCAACUAAUUUAUUUUUUUCUCCUUCUUUAAUCUGUCUUACAAGUUUACCAUGACAUUUUACUGACAACAGUGCUAAAAUAACUCCAAAAAAUACAAAAAGGAGACUAAUUAAAAUUAGGGAGACAGUGAACAUCGUGAUACAUUGGCAUAAAAUUAUUCCUUCAGUGGCCUUUGUAAAAAUACUGCUAAAAACCAGCAUUUGCUAUGGCAAUACUGAAUCAGAUUGUUUUACAAAACAUAUAAUUUCAUAUGCAGGUCCUUGCAGUGCCAGCUUUCGGAUGAGACCAGAUCAUUUAGUUAGUGCAACCUACUGAAAUAAGGCACUUCUAGUUUUAGGCAAGAAAGUGCUCGGUGCUUUUUUGGAACAAAACUUUCAGCCCUGAACUAAACUCCCAACUGAUACAAACUACAGAUGGUGAAAACCUAUUUGCUGUCAUCCCCUUCCCCCGCAAUUUCAGAAAUCAUUCAGAGCGCUGUUUCAGCAUUUCUCACUAUUAAGUGUAUAUGUGAAGGAAAAGGUUUUGCUCAGGCUGGACAGAACUUUGCCAAAAACUUGAUAACAGCACAGUGAUAACUCAGAUAUCUUAAAAACUGCUGGGUAGACUGCAUACUCCAAAUACAAAAGCAGCAGUUCUAGAGGAGUGGAAAUAAGCAGCCAGCGACACACAUGGAACACAAGGAGCGUUGAGAAGGGGGUUAGCAGCACCUACUGGUCAUGGCGAAUACUGAACACUGACUUUUAUCUCAAUGAACAAUUAAAAAAAAUCUUUUUACUACUCAAGUACUGAUCUAGAAUUACCUAUGAAGUCACUUUGACACUAGAGAUAAUACUUUUAAUUGGAUCAGCUGAUAAAAUUAAAAAGAUACCACCUCACCUAAUAAACAUUCUUUUACUCCUUCCUUUAGACCAUCACAGUCACAUUACUGUUAAUUGUAUCAGCACCAGUAAUAUCUAAAUCAUUAGCAGUAAAUAAAUAUUCAUUGCAUGAUCUGAGCUCAAGGCUUCAGUAUCAAAUGGGACGUAGCUAUUCUUCCUAUUUUAUGGGACUGAAAGAUUAACACUGCACAUCACAACACACACGAACCCUUCCUUUGUUACUGGCUAAUUACUACACUCAAAGCAACUCAAGUAUUGUGAAUUGCCUAACAUUAGCCAUCAGUUUUGUUUAACCUAUGAAGAUCUGCAAACUAUUAAAAGUUUUUGCGACUCUUCAGAAUUUCUACAAUCCAUUUCUCAAAUCUGCAAAAGUAAACCUUCUUCUUCCAAUGCAACAAAACAUCUAUGGCAGUCUCUUGAUCUACCUUCUCCCCUUAAAGAAAAAACUCCCAAAAAAUAAAACCCGAACGAAAACACAUCGAGCACAAAAUUACAAAUAGUAUUUUCAGCAAACAUUUCCUCAAAAUUAAAAUGUUCUCAAUUCUAAGUUUUAUUAACUCAGCUAUAAAAAACCUAUAUUUGGCUGUCAUAUUUAAUGCUCGCUUUAAAUUGCUAUUUAAAAAAAGUAUUCUUUUUUGUGAAGUUGUGUCUAUUGGGUCCUCUGAUAUACUAGCCUUAGGCAUUAGAAGUUUUCCUGGUUCUCAUCCAACUUUGGAAAUAAUAUCUUCUUGCUUCGGGUGUUAAAAGGAUUCAUACAUUAUUUAUAAGGACUGCUAAAAUCUAACUCCUGGAUCUAACUUGCAAGGGAGAGAGUAUAAAAAGUUACAUACAAAAAAAAGUACAACUGUCCUCAUUUCAAUUUUUACUCUCUCUUUACAAGUCAUGUAGAGCCAGACUGAGUCUGUAAUUCUCUCACCUCUCCCUCCCCUACACUCUGAUGUUCUUCUAUCGAUGCUUUGAGCUCUUUAGGAUUUGAUCUUUCCUGCGUGUUUUUCAAGUUUGAUUUUCCAAGUAAAAAAACCCAAAAGGCUGUCGGGUAGCCUAUUACACAUCAAAGGAGUGGGACUGCUCUGACAGAAUGGUGUUUGUUUACCUCCUGAAAAAAUCAGACUCGAGAGUAUGAAGAAAGUAGCCAGAACAGCACAGCCAAAAUCCCUUUUCACUUUCCAAAGUCGCCUUCUACGCUUUUCUCUUAUUGAUGCUGUUAUAACAUAGAUACACAUUAUUUACAUUUUGCCUUUUCUUCCCAGCUCAAGAGUUCAUUGCUAGGUUUUGAACGAUACUUUCAACAACGUUCAUAAAGAAGAGCUACCAGUAUCUUCUUAUCAAUUCAAGAAAAUGUUUCUGCACUGAACAACGUUUUCACUUCCCGGGUUAUAUGGAGGUAAGAGAUUUUAUAGACCAAAACUAUUAAAAUACCUAUCUAUUUUAUGCAAUUAGAGACAAUAGAAAAGUCAAGUCUACAAAAUGUCAGGAAACACUUCCCAGCUUGAGCAAGUCCUCCAGCUGUUACUGGAAAUAGAACAUUUUUCUGGACAACUACACACACUAGAAGUACUGUAUCUGACAUCCAUUUACAAGCAGAUAGCUGUUUCCAACUCUAGUUUCUCUUAGAAAAACUGAAGCACACAGAAAUGCUAUCUGAACAUCCUAUAA